AUGAGGACCUGUGUGCUUGAUUGUUCUUUAAUUUCCCAAAUCUGUAAGAGUUGCUGCAGCUGUGUGCAUCCCAUCAGAGCCGUUAUCCAAAGCAGCAAUUACUGUCUGGUCUGUCCCUCUUGGAGCACAAGGCAAUGCUGCUUCCAGCGGGAGCCAGCUGAGAGCUUGUCCUUAAUUGAGGCAGUUUGUUGGCUGCUCCAGAUCUGGAUACGAACCUCUCAGGCCGAAGACCUUUGCCAGGGUUUCAUUGCUUGCUGUCGCAGGGAACCUGCCCAUGGCUCUGGGACCAGGCAUAGAGAGCCCAGGGCAGCGCGUGGAGGUGUGCCUGCUGAGCCCGGGGCUGGAUCUGGCCCACCGUUCUUGCUGUGCUAG
rnacentral:lncRNA from 1 species